GACGAACGCUGGCGGCGUGCUUAACACAUGCAAGUCGAACGGUAAGGCCCUUCGGGGUACACGAGUGGCGAACGGGUGAGUAACACGUGGGUGAUCUGCCCUGCACUUCGGGAUAAGCCUGGGAAACUGGGUCUGAUACCGGAUAGGACUCCGGACUGCAUGGUCUGGGGUGGAAAGCUUUUGCGGUGUGGGAUGGGCCCGCGGCCUAUCAGCUUGUUGGUGGGGUGAUGGCCUACCAAGGCGACGACGGGUAGCCGGCCUGAGAGGGUGACCGGCCACACUGGGACUGGGAUACGGCCCAGACUCCUACGGGAGGCAGCAGUGGGGAAUAUUGCACAAUGGGCGCAAGCCUGAUGCAGCGACGCCGCGUGAGGGAUGACGGCCUUCGGGUUGUAAACCUCUUUCAGCAUCGACGAAGCGAAAGUGACGGUAGGUGCAGAAGAAGGACCGGCCAACUACGUGCCAGCCGCCGCGGUAA
rnacentral:rRNA from 1 species